GUCACAUUUGACAGGUGACGGCGAUCAGAUGACAGUGACAGUUUGACGUAACUAAGUCCGUAACUCGGGCAAAUUUUCCGCGAUAUAUCGGAGCGAAAGUGGUCGCGAGUAGCAAGUAUAUUAUAAAAAUUUCCCGUGAAAACUUCGCACGUUUAAAAUUUGAUAAGGCUUCUCGCGUAUCGGUCUCGUCGUUUUGGAUUAGAACACGAUCAGUGCGUGCCGUAACCGCCGGGAAUCAAUUUCGUACUGUGCCACAAAUCUAAAAAGACGAAAAUGAACGCCGACGAUUAUGAAACUCUUCCCACGGAUAAUGUUUCAACGCAUAUGAUAGCAGGGGCUAUUGCGGGGGUCAUGGAACACUGCGUCAUGUACCCCUUGGAUUCCGUUAAAACAAGGAUGCAAUCGUUGGCAACAACAGGCUCGGACGGUAUAGCUGCAACCUUCAUCAAAAUGGUAAGACAAGAGGGAAUGUUCCGGCCGAUCAGGGGUAUGGGGGCCAUGGUAUUGGGAGCCGGGCCCUCGCACGCCCUCUAUUUCAGCACCUAUGAGUUUUUGAAAAGUACAUUCACAGAAAUGAUGCCGAGCACCAAGUACCAUACUCUGUGUUACGGUGCCGCAGGCUGUAUAUCCACCCUUUUGCACGACGGCGUGAUGAAUCCAGCCGAAGUGAUCAAACAAAGAAUGCAAAUGUUCAACUCGCCCUACCGAUCAGUAUUAGGAUGCCUCCAGAACGUUUAUCGUACGGAAGGAAUCGGCGCGUUUUACCGUUCGUACACCACACAACUGACCAUGAACAUCCCGUUUCAGAGUAUUCACUUUAUGGUGUACGAGUUCGCCCAAACCAUAACCAACAAAGAGAGACAGUACAACCCUGCGGCCCAUAUGGUGAGUGGUGCGAUGGCCGGCGCCGUCGCAGCCGCCGUCACGACGCCCCUGGACGUCUGUAAGACCCAACUGAACACCCAACCCGACCUGAAGUCCCAGGGAUUGAUACAAACGAUGAAACUGAUUUAUAGGUUGAAAGGGGUCCGGGGGUAUUUUAGAGGAAUGCAAGCCAGGAUAAUGUAUCAAAUGCCUUCGACCGCGAUCUGUUGGUCGACAUACGAAUUCUUCAAAUAUUUGCUGGGAAGUACUCAGGAGUUGAGGAUAGUGGCGCCCACGUCUAACGUGUUGGCGGAGGAGAAGGAGUCGUGCGAGGACGAUUUUCCCGGUUCGACGACGCAUUUCGAAAAAAUCACGUUUAAGAGUAGGGAGAGCGGAGUCCCGAGGGAACUGCCCGCCAUGUCAGAUGAUCGAAGACCGAAUCGCAUAUUAUAACCCUAGAUUUAAGAGAAAUUGCUGAUUGAAUGAAUUAACCUGGGCCUAAAAAGGUGCGGGCCUUUACGGCUCGAUAUCGUUCAACACGAUGCACAAGGCGGAUUAUCGGCAAAAGGACUCGCUGCUGGACGUCGCACGCACAUAGUUUUGUAAAUACCUUGUUUGUACAUAUUUCUUUUCUAUAACGCAGAAGAGCAGAAAGAGCGCGCGACCUCCGGUGACUCCUCUACCAACCAAAAAAGAAACAAUGGAUCCCUUUCUUGGAUUUACCAUAUGUGUAUUAAAUACGACAUGGUCGAGAAAAACCAUUUUUUUUAAGCAUGUUCGAAUCUUCCUGGAUUUUUUCAAAUUUUCGCCUCAUUUACAUUAUAUUAUUGUUAAGUUUUAUGUACGAGAGAGAGAGAGAGAGAGACAAUAAUAAUAUCGCAGUUAAACUACUCGAUUAAUACUCGUUUUUAAUGUGAAAAUUGAGUAAUAAUUAAUGUAAAUAGGCCCGUUUUUAAGCUGUAUAUAUAUAUGCAUGUUAUCACGUCUCAAAGACGAUUUAAGUUAUAGAGGGGGGAGAAUCUUGGUAUCGUGGUUGCCAACCAAAAAAAAAUAUAUAUCUGGAAAAAAAAUGCACUUAAUGUUCAUAGAAGAAUUUUCUACUACUUUCUGUGAAAAUGUUCCCUAAUCUCUGAAAAACUGCCCAGAUCUUGAGGAUCAUGCUUCUUCCUUGGACACCGCUCGCAAAAAAAUCCAAUAAUUCGAAGACUAUUCCAUAAACCUUAAAGAACAUUUAUAGUGAAUACUUUUCUUAAUAUGAUGCUUUUUAUUUCAUUAGAAUCGCUCAACAAGUUUUUUAAAUAUUGUGCUUUGAAAGGGUCACCUUCUAGGGCCAAACUUUUUCCUCAGAUACCACUCCCAAAAAAAAAUCCAAUAAUUACUUAAAAUUCUUUAAUCUGGGGAGUUUUUCCGCAUUAAAAGCCUCCUCCCUCUCCCUUCGCCUUUAAGCACUAUAUUUUAUUAAUGUUUAGUUUAAAAUUUUUGCUUUAUGUCAUGGAGACGCCUCCUAAAUGAAGAAAUUUAGCGAAGAUUUGUAGCGCUAUAGUUGUAUCUAUUGUGUCAUCCUUCCGCGGUGACGUAUUUAAGCUGUGAUAAAGUCCUUAUCAACUGUUUUUUUGUAUGAUAUUGACUUCGUUCAGAUGGGGGUACUAUCAUAUUAUUAUUAUCCUGUUACUCGUGUACGUAUACACACACACACACACACGUGACGCUUUAUUGUUUUAUUUUAUUCUUUUAAUAAAUUUUUUUUUAGUAUUCUUUUGUUACUAAUGGGUGUAUGGUACAUACGUUUUAAUCGGGUUAAAAUGAUGAAACUUGGUGCUAUUUUUUAGGUCUUAAAAAGGAUUUUUUUAACGCCCACUAGUAACAAAAUCGCGAGUUAGUUAGUGUAUACGUUUUAUUACACCGUGAUAAGGGUUCUUGUCACUAUCAAACCCAUUUUAUGCUAAAACAACCAUUUACCCAAGAGUGUUUCGUUUAUAAGGUGACAAAUUUUGUAAAAAGUGAUGUUUAAAUAUAGAACAUGUUACACAAAC